rnacentral:tRNA from 1 species
AGAAGAAUGAUCGAGUGGCCAAUGGUGAUAGACUGUAAAUCUAUUGGAAAUUUCCUACGUAGGUUCGAAUCCUACUUCUUCUA